ACAGAUGGUUGUGAGCUACCAUGUGGUUGCGGGAUUUGAACUCAGGACCUCUGGAAGAGCAGUCAGUGGUCUUACCUAAGUCACCUCUCCAGUCCAACACUUCUUCUUUUAAAGUGAACAAUUUGAUGUGCAUCCAUCGCAAAGGUUAUUGGCCUCUGUAAGGAACUUUAAGGUUGUUCUCUUGCUGGGGGCUUGCUGCAUUCUCUUGCUUGUGUCGGACUCAGUCAGUUGUCUGGGAACUUAGCCUUUGAUUAGGUGUGAAGGCUUUCCCUCUGCUUACCCUGUGCCCUGUACAGUACUGGGCACCACAGCAUCUGGAAGCCCCUUGCUGAAUUGAUCUCAAUCUCCUUCUCUUCCUAACCCUGCCACUGCGCAGUGUGAGACUCUGCGCAACCGGCCAUGGGUGAAGGCUGGCCCCGGGGGUGGGGGGUGGGGGGGCAGCUCUUCUCUGAGACACUAGCUGCUCUACUCUGUGGACACACCCACAAGGGUGGAGGCACAGCACUUGGAGGAGUCCCUGUUUCCUAUAGCCCAGCUCUAUCUAGCUCCUCCCAGGCAUGCCCCUCCCCAGAGGUGGGCAGUACUGAACAAAGGCCUCAGCUGGAUCUAUUCAGAGGAGGUGGUAGAGGGGCAAGCUCUCCCAGGAUAUGAGACCCCUAUGGCUGGAAGGACACUAAAUCUCAACAGGCCUUCCAUGAGGGGUUCUACCCUGCCCCAAAGAAGGGACUCUUAAGACUGCUUGCCUGGAAGCCACCUGCUAUAAUCCAAGUGUGUCUGGAGGCCACAGUUGACUUUGCAGACUCUUGGAGCCUCUUGUCUCUCAUCUCUAAGGUAGCUAGCUGGAACGUGGAAUCCAUGUCACCUAUGAGCCGCCCUGGACCCCCAGAGGAGAAGGUCUCUGAAACCCAGUUGUCCGGGGUUCCCGACGCCCCUGAAGAUGCUCCUGGUGAUGACAUAGAUGGUGCAGAGGAUUCAGACUUGGUGCCCUCUGUCACCCUGGCUGCAGCCCUCAUCCUAGUGUUCCUCCUGAUGUCAUUCUGGCUAGCAUAGCCACCCUGUCAAACCUCCUGCCACCCUGCUAAGCUUCCUACUAAGUGGGUUCCUGAGCAGAGGACAGCAGGACAGCUGGGCUCCUAGCUCUGCUCUGGGUCGAUGGCAUUCAGUGCUGUGUGAGACCUGUCGAAGGAGGACCCCGUGGGAGGCUACAGCCUGGACCCCUAUGUUUAGGCAGCUCAUGUUCAUUCCUCUGGUCUGCUUCCAUUGAUAAGAACAGCUGUGUUCCCCAUCUUUGGGAAGCCAUGCUGGGGGCUUCAGAUAAAGCUGAAUGACUCCAGGCAUUUGUAUCAAUGAGUGGGAGUAACUGUGUGGUCAGUCUUUCUAUUCUGGGCCUCAGUUUCCCCAGUUUUCAAGGUGGGCUGGUAGUGCCUGUUUCUUGGAAUUUUGAGGAAGAUGUCCAGUGAGUGGCCUUCUGUGGUCACGCUGAUCUAUACUCCCCCAACACACCAGCCUCUGAGCACUCACCCAAAAGAUUCAUGGGAAAGGGGCAAAGGAGCUGCCUCCAAAGGAUGCACUGGUCUCAUCUGCCACCUGGUGGUCAAAGAUAGAAUUGCACUUGCAUAGAGGUUUGGAGCGUUCCAAGGGUGGGCUUUUUUUUUUUUUUUUCCUUUCUUUUUUGAGAUGUGAAGUUUGAGAUUUUUUUUCAUGAGCAAGGAUCCCGCUGCCAAGUGAAAGCUGUUUUGACAUUUGCUGCUGCUAUCUGUUCCCCAUCUCUGUCUUUGAUCUAAAAGCCAUUAGAGAGGCGGCAACUCUCCUGUUUUAAGGCAGGAUUAUGGGUGGUUCCCUUCUCAGGACACCAUGCCUUCCUGCCUUCAGCAGCCUGAGUUCCACAAGAGACUUUCCUCUCAGGCAUGACUGCUUUUCAGGUAGGGAUCUGCUGGUUGGGUCUGGAAGGACAAGGCCAUGGUACAAACAUAUCUAGAGAACCCUGCAGUUAUCCACAUCCCACUGCUCUGCCAAGCCUAGGGGAAGAGGGUACUGAAGCAUUCAGAGAACGGCCCAGGUGGCCCAGGAUUGCUAUGGCCUGGCUGGUGGCCAGAGACUGUCAGGAGGCUCUGGGGUGUCUCCAGGAGAGCUGCCUCAGACAGUGGGGUGUUUAUGUUCUCCAGAUGCCAACCUUCCUUCCAGGAACUUGGGGUCUUGGAGGGGAGGAGUGAAGAUGGGUCUGAGCUCUGGUUUCUGAACUAUUCUGUGCCCAUGCCAGGGUCCCAGUAGAGGGCGCUGCUCCCUCCUGGGAAUGUGAAGCACAUGACUGUGUGCCCCACUGGGGACAAAGCCCUCUGCUCCAGGUUGACAGCAGUCUUAGUCCAACACUUGGGUCCUGUAGUCUCAGGCAAUAUGAGAAGUGAGCAGGAGCUUUAGGUGGCCUCAGAGUCUUGGAGGAGUAUAGGUGUAGUCCUUGAAGCAAUGGUGACAGGCACUUUGGCUGGUAGAGAGUUGGAUGAUGCUUUCCCACCAGCUGGAUAGGAGGCGGCAUGCGGGGGGCCAGGGUGUCCAAGCAAAGAGGAAAGUGGGACUCUCAGUGGGCCGCUGUGGGGUAGACCUCCACAGUGAGGCUCUGAGCAUGAGAAGUAGCAGGGCCUUAAGUAUGGCUCCCGCAGCCUCUGACCUUCUUCUCUUACCCCUAUUUAUCCCUGCUGGAGGAGAGAAGCUGAAGCCAGACACCUGGUCCCUCUUGUUCUCUGGGUUUCUACUCUUGUGCCUUUGGGUGCAGCUGGUUAGUGAACAAGUCUGACCUCUUUGGAAUUUAGCACAAGUUGUCACUUUCUAUCUGGUGUGACCCCAAGCCCCUCUUCCCUCCUGACACCUGCCCACCUGUGAAGCUGACCAGACGCGAAGCUAGAACAUCAGUGCCCUUUCCCUCGACGACUGCGCUCACCGCUGUCCUUUCUGUCAGGCAUGGAUGGCAGCAGCAUCCUGGAAAUCGUGACGACUGCAGGCUUCGGGGAGCUCAGGAGAGCUGGGCCGUGGACAGAAGCUCUUCCAGGCUUGCCUGCCUGAAAUCCAGGUUCUACCACAGUUCCAGUGCCAACAAGCUACCCAUGCAGGCCAGGGCAAGUGCAUGCAUUGUUAAAUAGGACUCAUGAAAAUGCCCUGUGGUUUCCAGGUCUCCAGUGGCCAGCUCGCUCUGUCUGGCCCCAUUCCUGGAUUCUCAGUGCCCAGCCCAUCAGCACAAAGUACCUGGGGAGAAUGCAGGCCAGGAAGAAAUUGCAUCUGCAAGGAAAAUAUUGUUUUAUAGAAUUCAGUGGCCCAUUCUGUAAACAUUGUGGUUCUGCCUCAGGUUUUUUUCCUGCCUGUCUUCAGGGAGCACCUCCAGGGAGCACCUCCAGGGAGCACCAGGGAGCACUGGGCAGCCAGAUGCCUGAGCUUAGGAAAAUAUGUGCUUUGGGUGAGUUGGCUGUUGCACAGGAUGGACUUGGGGACUUUACCAGGCAUGUGAGAGAAUCCAGGAGUGGUGCUGGUUGGAGUUUUCCUCCAGAGGCUUAUAGAGAGACAGUGUAUGGAUACACACGUGGAUAUGAAUGUUUGUCUAUGUACAUCUGUAUUUAUGUAUGCAUGAGGAUAAUUAUACAUGUGUAUGCAUUUA